rnacentral:misc_RNA from 1 species
GAUGAAGAACGUAGCGAAAUGCACUAAGUAAUGUGAAUUGCAGAAUUCAGUGAAUCAUCGAAUCUUUGAACGCACAUUGCGCCCAUUAGUAUUCUAGUGGGCAUGCCUGUUCGAGCGUCAUUUCAACCCUUAAGCCUAGCUUAGUAUUGGGAAUCGACUUUACUGUCGUUCCUCAAAUUCAACGGCGGAUUUAUAGCAAUCUCUGAACGUAGUAAUUUUUUUUCUCGUUUUUGAAAUACUAUAAACCUCAGCCGCUAAACCCCCAAUUUCUUAUGGUUGACCUCGGAUCAGGUAGGAAUACCCGCUGAACUUAAGCAUAUCAAUAAGCGGAGGA